UACAGAGGUCCCGAGCGUUGUCCGGAUUUAUUGGGCGUAAAGGGUGCGUAGGUGGCCAAGUAAGUUGGGUGUGAAAUCCUGGGGCUUAACCUCAGAAUUGCAUUCAAUACUGCUUAGCUAGAGAGCUGUAGAGGAGACUGGAAUUUACGGUGUAGCAGUGAAAUGCGUAGAUAUCGUAAGGAACGCCAGUGGCGAAAGCGAGUCUCUGGGCAGCAUCUGACACUGAGGCACGAAGGCCAGGGGAGCAAACGGG
rnacentral:rRNA from 1 species